rnacentral:rRNA from 1 species
UACGGGGGGGAGCAAGCGUUGUUCGGAUUUACUGGGCGUAAAGGGCGCGUAGGCGGCCACCGCAAGUCGACUGUGAAAUCUCCGGGCUUAACCCGGAAAGGUCAGCCGAUACUGCGGGGCUAGAGUGCAGAAGGGGCAACUGGAAUUCCUGGUGUAGCGGUGAAAUGCGCAGAUAUCAGGAGGAACACCGGUGGCGAAGGCGGUUCUCUGGGCAUGUUCUGACGCUGAGGAGCGAAAGUGUGGGGAGCGAACAGG